rnacentral:tRNA from 1 species
GCCUCUUUAGCUCAGUUGGCCAGAGCACCUGUCUUGUAAACAGGGGGUCACCGGUUCGAAUCCGGUAAGGGGCUCGA